AAACUUUCAACAACGGAUCUCUUGGUUCUGGCAUCGAUGAAGAACGCAGCGAAAUGCGAUAAGUAAUGUGAAUUGCAGAAUUCAAGUGAAUCAUCGAAUCUUUGAACGCACAUUGCGCCCGCCAGUAUUCUGGCGGGCAUGCCUGUCCGAGCGUCAUUU
rnacentral:rRNA from 3 species